AUUGAACGCUGGCGGCAGGCCUAACACAUGCAAGUCGAUCAAGUGGCGGACGGGUGAGUAAUGUCGGGGAAACUUCCUGAUGGAGGGGGAUAACUACUGGAAACGGUAGCUAAUACCGCAUACUAUCGGAUGUGCCCAGAUGGGAUUAGCUAGUAGGUGGGGUAACGGCUCACCUAGGCGACGAUCCCUAGCUGGUCUGAGAGGAUGACGAGCCACACUGUAACUGAGACACGGUCCAGACUCCUACGGGAGGCAGCAGUGGGGAAUAUUGCACAAUGGGCGCAAGCCUGAUGCAGCCAUGCCGCUUGUAUGAAGAAGGCCUUCGGGUUGUAAAGUACUUUCAGCGGGGAGGCGUUACCCGAAGAAGAAGCACCGGCUAACUCCGUGCCAGCAGCCGCGGUAAUAC
rnacentral:rRNA from 1 species